AUUGAACGCUGGCGGCAUGCUUUACACAUGCAAGUCGAACGGUAACAGGUUAAGCUGACGAGUGGCGAACGGGUGAGUAAUGCAUCGGAACGUGCCCGAUCGUGGGGGAUAACACUUCGAAAGAAGUGCUAAUACCGCAUACGAUCUGAGGAUGAAAGCGGGGGACCGUAAGGCCUCGCGCGAUCGGAGCGGCCGAUGUCAGAUUAGGUAGUUGGUGGGGUAAAGGCUCACCAAGCCGACGAUCUGUAGCUGGUCUGAGAGGACGACCAGCCACACUGGGACUGAGACACGGCCCAGACUCCUACGGGAGGCAGCAGUGGGGAAUUUUGGACAAUGGGCGCAAGCCUGAUCCAGCAAUGCCGCGUGCAGGAAGAAGGCCUUCGGGUUGUAAACUGCUUUUGUACGGAGCGAAAAGGCUCCCUCUAAUACAGGGGGCUUAUGACGGUACCGUAAGAAUAAGCACCGGCUAACUACGUGCCAGCAGCCGCCGUAA
rnacentral:rRNA from 1 species